rnacentral:misc_RNA from 2 species
CCGAGUUUACAACUCCCAAACCCCUGUGAACAUACCACUUGUUGCCUCGGCGGAUCAGCCCGCUCCCGGUAAAACGGGACGGCCCGCCAGAGGACCCCUAAACUCUGUUUCUAUAUGUAACUUCUGAGUAAAACCAUAAAUAAAUCAA